rnacentral:tRNA from 1 species
GCUGGUAUGGUGAAACAGGCAGACACAGGGGACUUAAAAUCCCUCGGAGAAAUCCUUACGAGUUCGAAUCUCGUUACCAGCACCA